rnacentral:lncRNA from 1 species
AGGAGCGAGGUCAAAUCUGGGCUAGAUGUUGGAAGUUGUUAGUGUGCUGACGGUGUUAAAAGCUACGGAGUAUUCAAAGUUGGGGUCACCUAGGAGAAUCCUGAAUUGAGCCUGUGUUCCCAGUUCCUAGAAACCCUCAAGGUUAUUGGUUUCCUCCUCGCUUAAUAGACCAGUGGAAGAAAUCUACCUCCAGUUCUAUCUUCACAUGAGCAACUGUUUACAGUUUACAAUAUUACUCUGAAAAUCAGUUCUUUUCAAGUUUUAUCUAACACCCACCAGAAGAAACAGAAGAUUAUGAAAAUGGAAUUUGUCAAAGUUCCUCUCCCAACAAUAUGAUAUUUAAUUUUGCUAACAUUUUUUUUUGAACACUUACUAUAUUGCAGACAAUGGUCUAAGUAAAGCAUUUUAUGUGCAUCCUAUCAUGUCAUCAUCACACAGCCCUGUGAGGUAGAUACUAUUAUUAUUAACCACAUUUCACAUUCAAAAAAACUGAGGCUUAGAGAGACUAAGUAAAUUGUCCAAGGUCACACAGCCAUGAAGUGGCAGAGCUGUGGUUAAAACCUAUGUCUGUCUGAUGUUUAAGAUUUUGCUGUUAGCAUUACUUUGAAAUGACAAUAUGAGGGCAUUUUAUGUAUUUUUUUUGCCCCAAUAUGAUCUGCAGAAACUAUGUAUUUUAAGUACUACAUUUCUUUUAUUUACCAAAUUAUUGUCAGAUAAGAAACCGAAAUAAAAGUUUACAGGGUCUAGGAUUCCUCCAUAA